UUAGCUUUUAAUCACUAAGUAAUGUUGCCAAA
rnacentral:piRNA from 1 species